ACUCCAGCCCCCCUUGCCUGCCUUCCAGCUUGGGGGGAAUAAAUGGGAAACAAAGGAGUAACCCUGACGUGUUGUAAUGUCCUCUCUAUUCUGAUCUCACAUCACACUCACAGUGACUCUCCAUAGAUGGAGCUACUGAACAGAGAAAGAGAGAGGGCAGAGGCAAGGAGGGGGGGUAGGCUGUGUGUGAGUGUGUGAGUGUGUGGCUGUUGCUGCUGAGUGUGGGGACAUGACUGUGUGUGAGCUAAAGAGGCUUGGCUGGACUUAGUGAAACCAGAUCUUGUGUGUCUGAUCUGCAGAACAGAAGGCUGGAGAGGGAGCAGUGAGCGCAGACGGCACAUCCACUGCUGCACCCAGGCAGGCACCCAGCAGCACCCUCCCAUCCUCCCCUUGCACACUCUGGCCUCCAUAGCCUCAGCCUCAGCCCUGGCAGCAUGAAGAAGAACCUUUCUGCAAAGAGGGGACCUUUAGAUGGGAACCAUGCCCCCUGCCAGCCAGAAAAAGUGGGAUGGAUUCGGAAAUACUGCGGGAAGGGCAUCUUCAGGGAGAUCUGGAAGAACCGUUACGUGGCUAUACGGGGGGAUCAGCUCUACAUAUCGGAGAAAGAGGUGAAAGAUGAAAAAAAUGGGCAUGAAGUCUUUGAUCUGAGCGACUACGAGAAAUGCGAGGAACUGCGGAAAUCACGAAGUCGGUCAAAAAAGAACCACAGCAGGUUCUCCCUUGUACGCUCCAAACAGCCAGGGAACACUGCACCGAACCUGAUCUUUCUCGCAGUCAGCCCUGAGGAGAAGGAAUCUUGGAUCAAUGCCCUGAACUCUGCAAUCACACGAGCCAAGAACCGCAUCUUAGAUGAGGUCACAGUGGAAGAGGAGAGUUAUCUCGCUCACCCAACUCGCGACAGAGCAAAAAUCCAGCACACCAGGCGCCCCCCUACAAGAGGUCACCUUAUGGCAGUGGCAUCUACCUCAACGUCAGAUGGAAUGCUAACCUUGGAUCUAAUACAGGAAGAAGAUGCCUCCCCAGAAGAUCAAGGCAGCUGUGAUAAAAGUUUCAGGGUUGACCUAGACAAGUCUGUGGCCCACUUGGCUUCUAAACGUCGCAGAUCGGACUCUGAGAAUUUUAAGUGCCCAGAAAAGGGCAGGUCAGAAAACCAGCAAGGGAGGGAUCAGGUGUUCUGGGAUAAGUUGGGGCCACACCAUGACUCCUUUGGAAAGGGCACAACCUACACGCCUCAGGUCCCCAAAAAGCUAUCCUAUUCUGAGAAGAACAAAUGUGCCUCUAUGGAGGAGAUCUUAUCAAGAUCAGACUCUUCAGGUCAACGCCCAGUGUCCAAAAAGCCUCCUGAAUCAGAGAGACUAUGCCAGUUACAGGAAUUGAUAACAGAGAAGAUUGAUAAAACUCAGGAACUGCUUACAGAAGUGAAGGACUGUGGAGAAGGCAGGAAAAAGGGAAAGGAAACUUCUUGCAAGGCAGACUCUGAAAAUGUCCUUCAGGAAGCAGAGAGGCUUCUAGGAGAGGCCUCCUCCAACUGGAGACAGGCCAGAAAGGUCUUACAGGAAAUUAAGGAACUGAGAGACCUAUACAGACAAGCAGACCAGCAGUCCCCAGAUCCUAAGCAGAAACUGGCCAGUCAUUACAGGAAAAGUCUAAUGUGAGGGACACAAGCACUCUUUAUACCUUCAAGCUCCCAAAAAAAAAGGAAUAUUUCCUGGUUGAAACCUGCUUCUGGCUUCAUUACGCAAAACUAAGGAUCAUAAAGUCCAAAUGGAAGAAGAUGGGCUGUCUUUGGAACCCUUGGCUUUGCACUUUAUUUUUCUCCAGGGGUAGCUGCAGAAGCUGCGAUGUGCAGCAGGCUAACCAUAUAUGCAGGAACCCCUGUAGGAGAGCUUUGGAUCUACUAACACGCGCACGGUUGCCCCUCCAGGAUCACAAUCCUUAAGGUCUGCGGUGUUAAAAGUGGGGUGAAAAAUGCCAGACCAGCUGGAUUAGGCAUGUGGGCCGAUGUAGUCUAUGUAGUAUGUGUAAUCCAAUACAAAGCAUACAAACCCAUUAUAAUGUUACCUAUGUUUACAUGGGCCUGCUCUUAUUUCAUGUAUUCUUCAGCGGGAAUGUACUAAAGGGUUCACUAGAAAGUCUGAAAAUAAAAUAUAUUGCCUCCAAUUACCUCUAUCAGCCAUGGUAACGAAGCAGCAGGGAAAUAGCUGUCAACUUGUAUAGCCUGCCCACAUCUUUCUGUGUCAGAACACAAUUCCACUCAGGUUGACCAACGCGCAGAAGGCCGACAUGACUGUCCUUUGGGUAAAGCAUUUCCCUGCGCUUUCGGUUGGUUGAUUGGGCAACUAGGGGAGCAUUGCAUAAUUGAAACUGUUACAUUUCGGACUUACACAAGUCGUAGCAUUAACAAAUAUUGAGAAUGACUAUGCACUUUUCUAGCUGGUCCAACCUCUCCAUCCCCCACUUUCCUCUCUUUAAAUACCUGGGCUCUGCUUUAAUCAUAACACCCCAGAAUCAGUUCUGGUGUCAUUCAAAAUGACCUUUCGGAGUUUAGGAGUAGCAGCAUUGUGGUAGGAGGGUCUUCCUUCUGCAUGGGGUACAUUCUGCAUCUGCUCCUCACUUGCUGGGAAGCCUCAAUACCAAAUGAAGGUUGCGUUGUGUUCCUAUCUUAAUGAGAUGGACAGUGUAGCACGUUAUAAAGGCAAACUAGGGUACUCCUUCAGCCAUAUUAGCUGGGCAACAGGGGCCUCUUCUACAAGGAAGUAGAGCCUCCAUAUUUUCUAAACUAAUUACUUGUAUGGAAAGCUUUGCAGUCAUUGCCAGUGUCGCUUAUAAGCUAAUGCUCUUCCAAACCUGAAAUCGUCUAUGCGCUGAUGUUCUUCCCAAACCAAAUGGAGAUAGUUGUCUCUCUCAACAUAUAACUCCAACCAUGACCUAUACUUAGAUAUGUCAUAAAAUGGGGUAAAGCAUUGACCUAUUGUAAUCACAAUCAAACAUCUAUAUUUCCUUCAUCUCGUCUGUGCAAUUUAUUUUCAGUGUAAGAGCAAGGGGCUUAGUUUACGUUCCUUGAGUUGUCAGUAACCUACAUCUCAUCAUGGUAGACACCACUUCCUUUGUGUUUAGGGUAGAGUUGCCUGUUGGCAGCAAGUUUCUACCAUGAGGGGUAAAUCUAGUGUUUCACUAGUAAAGGAAUGCUCCAUAAGAGAUACAUCUGAGUUAACUGCAUACUGACCUUCAACCAGACAUGUACAUUCCUUCAUAUUUAUGUCUGUAAUACACAUAAAUCAUGUUAUUCUGAUAUUAACCAUGGUUUGCUCAUGUGUUUGUCUUCUUUGAAACCCCAAUUCCCACAUUAGGGACUCCCACUUUUUUAUGUGUCCAUUGUAACAUAACCAACCUACAAGAAAGAGACGUGGAACUGACUUCAUAGCAUUCUUAAACCACUGAGAUGUCCAUAAUGAAUGGAAAGUUAUGGUGCCUUUUGUAGAACAUCAUUGUGUUCCUUCAAAGACUGAGAUUAAGGUGUUGUGCCAUAGUUUUAGUUUUACACUUAGGAAGAGCCACCAUAAACCAUUAAAAAGGGAGUCCAGUGGCCUUCCUCAGGCUCGUGAUAAGCAAAACAACAAUGAAGUCAGGCUUUUGGCCUUCUUCAAUGACUUCUUCUGGGACUUCUAGACAGCAUCCAGUCAUGACCUGCCUUGGGUGGUUUCUCUUGCUGCUGACUGGUUUAAGUUUUUUACCAUAAACUAUGUAGGUUGCUAGGUUUUAUUAUGAAGUUUGAAGACUCUGAGCCAUAGGUGACCAUUUGUAGUGUUGGCGGAUCAGAGGCUGAUUCAUAUUUUCAAGAAGGUAGCUGCAACCUUGUUCAUUUCCUGAAGGUAACAUCUGGACUGUUGUAUGCUUGUGGCCAUCUUAGCCCACUAUCCUUAAAUAGUGAUGUAUCAGAAUCCUGUAUCGCUAUUCAUGUAGGCAAGUGAGGGAUAGUGAGUACCUUGGAGACCAGAGUAGGAUCGGGAAAUGAGAUUAAAGGGAACAUAUACCCAUCUGUAAGCAGAUCAAAGAAACCCAACAUCCUUCAUCUUUUGAUGUGUGCAAUUAUACUGUUCUGAGCAACCCUUAAUAAGACAUGUACCACUUCUGUUUGUUUAAGAAAAGGGGGGGAGGGUUUCCAUUUCAUUUAAGUGGUAUUUUAUCAAACAAAGCGGCCGAUGCUUUUUCUCACUUCCUGCACUCAAGCUGUGUGUGUGUAAACGUUUCACUUUUUAUUUAGCCGUGCCUCAUGCAUAUUUAAGCGAGUGUUUUAGAAAGAGCGUAUCACUUUGCUGUGGAAAACAACUCGUGAAUAGCUCGGGGAAGGAAAAUAACCCCCUCCUUUUGGCCGGCUUUGCUAACAGCUGGAUAUGAUAUUGAUGGGGACAGUGAUCAAGAAAGGUGCUAUGGAAACAUGGCGGGGAAUGGUUGUCACACGCGAGGCUGGCAUCUGAUAACUCUAGGAAAUUAUUUUUCCAACCUGUUUAUAUUUAUAACUGGCAGUUGGGUGAGGCAAGCCCAUUCUUCAUUACCUUCAUGAGUCCUUUACAUGGUUCCCUAUACGUAGGCAGUGAUCCCCAACCAGUGGCUCAAGAGGAACAUGUUGCUCCCCAACCCCUCGGAUGUUGCUCCCAGUGGCCUCAAAGUAGGUGCCCAUUUUUGAAUUUUGGAGGCAAGUUUUGGAGAGAUAAAAACCAUGUGUUCUGCCAAACUUCCUGUAGCCUUCCAUUCCACAGUGGGAUACCAAAUAGCCAAUUACAGUCCUUACUGGUCACCCCCUAGGAACUUUUUUCAUGCUUGCAUUGUUCCUCAACUUUUUUUUAUAUUUAAAUGUUGCUCAUGGGUACCCCUGUCAUUAGAUGUUGCUCUGGUUACAUAGUAAGCUUGGUGGGUUGGUGAGCUUUAGACAAAACAAAGCCAUCCUUGUAGUAAUGUGGCUUAUUUUAUCAUUACAACAUUAGUAUUUUUAUAUUAGAGGCCUUCCAAGGGGAAUAGGGGUAUAUGGAAACUGAGCAUUAGAUAGAGCAGCACCAUUAUCAUAUUGGCUAGUAAUGUGGCACAUUGUCAUGUCACUAUUGGCUCGUCAUCAUCAAUUCAACACUAGUUGGUUAUUUUAAGAGGAAUUACGUGUGUUCCAUGAAAAAGUGAGCAUCCAGGGCUGCGGAGUACGUAAAUACUUUGACUAUGGCUCCUCCGUUUAUGGUUCCUCCGACUCCAGGUACCCAAAAUUGCUUCUAACUUUGACUCCACUAAUCUGACACCAUAGCCCUGGCAGGACUGUGGAGUCUGUACAUAAAUCCCUUGACUCCUUAGUUUAUGUUAUCUUCGACUCCAGGUACCCAAAAUUGCUUUGACUUCUUAGUUUAUGGUUCCUCUGACUCCAGGUACCCAAAAUUGCUUUGACUUCUUAGUUUAUGGUUCCUCUGACUCCAGUUACCCCAAAUUGCUUUGACUUCUUUGUUUAUGGUUCCUCUGACUCCAGGUACCCCAAAUUGCUUUGACUUCUUUGUUUAUGGUUCCUCCGACUCCAGGUAUCCAAAAUUGCUUUGACUUCUUAGUUUAUGGUUCCUCCGACUCCAGGUACCCAAAAUUGCUUUGACUUCUUAGUUUAUGGUUCCUCCGACUCCAGCUGCCCAAAAUUGCUUUGACAUCUUUGUUUAUGGUUCCUCCGACUCCUGGUACCCAAAAUUGCUUUGACUUCUUUGUUUAUGGUUCCUCUGACUCCAGGUACCCAAAAUUGCUUUGACUCCUUUGUUUAUGGUUCCUCCAACUCCAGGUACCCAAAAUUGCUUUGACUCCUUUGUUUAUGGUUCCUCCGACUCCAGGUACCCAAAACUGCUUCUGGCUCCAUGACUCUGACUCCGCAGCCCUGGUGCCAUCAGUUGUAUCGUUUUGUAAUGUGGCAGUCAUCAGUGUCUCCAUUGGCUUAUUUUAUCAUUUCAACAUUAGUAUUUGUUCAUUAGAGGGCUUCCAUAGGAUGUAGGGGUACAUGGAAACUGUGAGCAUUACACAGAGCAGCGCCAUGAUCAUAUUGUCUAGUAAUGUGCUGUCGCCAUUGACUCGUCAUCAUUUCAACAUUGGUUGGUUUAUAUGAGAGGAAUUCCAUGUUCCUGGAAAAAGUGAGCAUUAUACAGGGCAGUGUUGUUGUAUUGUCGAGUUAUGGAACGUACUUCUAUGACAUCAUUAGCUCAUUGUUAUUUAAAGAUGAUUUUGAUUAUAUCAGAUGAAUUUGGUGGAAUUUCUGGAAAAAAUGAGCAUUAUGGAGAGCAGCGCUGUUAGUGUAUUAUUUAGCAUUGUGGCACACUCCGAUAUAUAGACAUAACCGUCUUAUCUACAUUUGAUUUUUGGCAUGGGUUUGUUUAUACCAGAGGAGUCCCAUGGUGUAUAGGGGUACAGAUAAAAGAACUGAUUUUUAUAUAAAUUCCGUAACUCGCUGCCUUCUCUGCAUGCCGGGCAAGAUGUUUGCUGCAGUCAGAUUCCUUAGUUCCAGUAUUCGUACAUUGCAGGGCCCGAUGCGUCGGUUGCGACGCGGCUGUUAUUGGGUUAAUGUUACCAUAGCAAUGCAGCCAGAUUGGAUCUACAGAAGGCAGGAGAACAAACGGUAUCAUAUCAAGGCUGCUCGCAAAAUCAACAAUUUAACGUACUAAUAAUAUUAAACCUUUUAAUAUCUCAUCCAGAUGGGGGACAGCUCAUCACUGGCUUCAUAGUAUGUGUGUUAGAGGUGUGAUAUUGUGUACUUGGGCCUUUUUCUUGCCCAAACAUCCCCAGUUGACCCUGCCAAUCCUGAUGGUUUCGAAAAUGCUGGGUUUUUAAGCCACGCCCACUCCAAAGUAAGCCACGCCUGUUUUCCAAUCCUCAGAUCAGAACUGUCCUUCCCAAACAGUCACUGGGGAGUUAUUCUGUAGGGAAAGGCCCUCUUCUUUGUAUUCCCCCCUUAUAAGGACAGUCCUGCCUAUGCCCCGCCCAUAUCCCCGCCCACCCCAUGCAUUUACCCACCCAGUCUGACCAUUUACACGCCCCUGUGUGACAUCACUUCCUACUCCCUUACCUGAUGGCUGGUAUUACAUCACAAAAAAGGUGGCAACCCUAUUCCCACAAGCAUUGUUUUUACCUGAUAUUCCCUGUGCGUGAUAUUCUAUCAUAGGGGAACACAGUAAAAAGAACUGUAGGUCUGUAUUUCCUAUUACACUGUACUGUAUUCAGCGCUUGCCUGAGUGAGUACCAUCCUGAUCACAUAGGAAAUACAGGCCUCUGUGUGUUAGUGCUCUGUGCUGCUGCUGAGCUGCACUGAGCUUUAACACCCCCGUCAAACAGAAUGGUGUUCAGUUGCUCACUGUAGGCCAACCCAUUCUGACCGACUGAAAGACAGGAAAGAACUAAAAGUACACAAAAUAUUUCUCCAAAGUGACCAAAGUUUGUUCCGAGGUCACAAAACCACGGACUCAACGCAGUUAUAUAAAGAAGGUGUGUGUGUGAAACGCAAAGGCCCUCGACUACUUUUCAGUUGUAAAAAUAAAGUAGUGAGUGGGACACAUGCGUAGGUCACAUGAUCGCGCUUGGGGGGGGCACAAAUAAUCCCACCGAGACCCAGCUUCCUGUGUCAGUUACAGGCGGUGACUGGAUGAGGAAAUACAGCAGCUACUGCACUUUCAUAUAUAGAUAUAUACAUAGAUAUGUGGUGCAACAAAAACUGCGCCUAUGAUGGCCACUAGGGGUGCUGUUAUUCUUUAUGCUGAAUCUUUACACUUAUGGGGAGGAAAGGUUCAAUAGCCGAGACCAUUGUUACUUUAUUUUGCAUUAUAAUUACAAAGUACAACAUUAUGUUCCCUGUGUAUUUGCCAUAAUACCCUCGACGUAGGCAAAUAAGCCUCUGUAUGUCCUGUGUGCAGCGUGGGCAGACUUUUAUACCCCUUUGCACCCCUCAAAGUGCUGCAUGUAGGACCUUGAGGAGUCUGAGUGUUCUUGGCCAUACACUGGGGGCUCAUUUAUAAACACUGGGCAAAUUAGCACCUGGGCAGUUACCCAUGGCGACCAGAUGUUUGCUUUAAUUGUCCUACCUGCAACAGGUUUAGAAAGGCUAAUUGCUGACUGGUUGCUAGGGGUUACUGCCCAAGUGCAACUUUGCCCCUCUGACUUGGCUUGUGUGCAAGGGAUAUUGCGUUGGAGGCUAUGAGCGAGUUGUGGUUGCCUCGUGGGACUGAGAUUGGACUGUUUGACCAUGAAAUGUAGCAGAGGUAAAAGUGGUUGUUUUAUCAAUUUUUGCCUUCCCAGCCCAGCUCAGUGCCCACUGGGGUACAUCUCAUUGGGCCGAUGGGUGCACUGGUAGAGCCUGUACCUUUAGAGAUAUCCACUCCCCUCUCUUACCUAUCACAAGAAGCAAAGUAGGGCGGUGCUCUCUGGGCCCCUCCAAAGAUUUUUAGCAGGGGGGCCCAGCUUGUUGUAGUUACACCACUGGGUGGGUCUGUGGGGGCAGGUUCUCCAGUGAACCCAAGAUACCCCAGUCCUACACUGUGCUCGGCAUUAGGGGGCGGGUAACUGGUUCACAAACCAACAGAAUCUGUAUUAUGAUUCUAUCUACAUGAAAGUCCUCUACAGUUCUAGUCGCCUGUAGCAACCAAUCAGGAGGUAGCUCCUGUUUAAACCCAAGCAUCUGAUUUGUCGCUAUGGGUUACUACAGCUGUUCCAACUUUGCCCUUGUUAUUAUAUUAACCCCGUAAGGCUAUAACUGCACACAUCAAAUUGUAAUUGCAAUGAGAAAAGCUGAUUUUUUUACCCAUAAACAUAGAGGUCACACUCUAGAGCAGGGGCUCCUAAUCCUCAGGGCCAGCCGUAAAGGGGGCCCCAAUUGGUCAAAGGCUAAUGAGGGUCUUGGAUAUCCCUGUAACUAUAGUGAAGUGACCCCAGAACUCUGCUUUAGGGGUACCAUAGCUUCUAACUGUGCUUCCUACUACCAUGAAUGGGCCAGUAGCCGUAAUGGCCCCGCCCAGUAUACAGUAGCCCUGACAGUCUCCCCUUCAACACAUAUAAAGUUAUUAUUUUCCCAUAGGGAAAGCGUUAGAGUAUAUUUCUAUACGUGUGUAGCCUGUCUGUACUGAUAUAUAUGCCCCAAGCGCUUUCAAUAAUGUCUAUCCCAAUCGCACGUCUGCUCUCACUAAAGGGGCGAGCCCAAGCUGCUUUGUGUUAUUAAUGAGCUUUAGUUCCCCUUUAAAAAAAAGUCCCAUCUCUGCUCUGCAAAAGUGUUGAAAAAUAUUUGAUAUUUUACGUUUUUCUCUUCUUUUUCUCAUUUUAAUGACAUCGGAAAUGCGUUAUUCCCCCCAGUAAUGAUUGUGGUUUGCACAGUUGAACCCCCCCCCGAAUUCAGGAAAAAGGGCACCUACCGCCUACCUACUGCUGUUGCAUUACCUGCAAUCCCCACUGCCACCUCCGGGGGGGGAGAGAUUAUCCAAUCACUGUUCUAAUUGGUUGCUAGAGAUUCCCAUUGUCUCCUCCUCCUGUGAUGUAAGCUGAGAUCCUUCUGCCUGUCUCUCGGUGCUGCCUAUGGGGGCUGCUGUUAAUUUGCUAAUGUAAAGCAACUGGACAUAAUGACAUUGUACAUGACUGUAUUUUAUUUUAUUUUUUUUCCUUCCUCUCUUUUUAAAAAAGUUUGUACAAUGUGUGUCAAACUUUCUCUUCUUCCUCGGGGGAAGAUAAUCUGCACUGAUAUUACUUGGCCUUGGCUCUUUCCGGGGUCACUUGUCGAUAGCAAAAAUGUUGCAAAAUGAAGCUGUGAUUAUGAAUAAAUGAGUAUUUUACAGAAAA